UACGUAGGUCCCGAGCGUUGUCCGGAUUUAUUGGGCGUAAAGCGAGCGCAGGUGGUUUAUUAAGUCUGGUGUAAAAGGCAGUGGCUCAACCAUUGUAUGCAUUGGAAACUGGUAGACUUGAGUGCAGGAGAGGAGAGUGGAAUUCCAUGUGUAGCGGUGAAAUGCGUAGAUAUAUGGAGGAACACCGGUGGCGAAAGCGGCUCUCUGGGCUGUAACUGACACUGAGGCUCGAAAGCGUGGGGAGCAAACAGG
rnacentral:rRNA from 1 species